ensembl:lncRNA
CUUACCUAAGAAGCGUUGAUGGAUAAGUCUGAUCUCGAUAUAUCCUUUAUUCUGUGUUGUAUUAAGAUAACGAGAAGAGCGGGACUGUUCUAUUUAUACUUAACAUAUCGAAAGUGUCUUAGGCGACGUCUGAAGCGUACAUUUAAAAGACGUUUUCUUAAUUGUGAGAAUGAUUGCAAAUAUGCAACUUCCACUUAUAACCAUCCUGCUUUUCAAGUCAUGUUUGUGUCUUCAAAUUGACACGGUCAUUCAGUUUCUGCGUUCGGGAGUGUUCGGCAAGGUGGAGACUGUCGAGCAGGUUUUGGUCAACGGAGCCCCUCUCUCCAGCUGCGGGAAAGACGUCAGCAGCAUUCUCAAUGCUGUAUUGCUGAUCAACUACAACGAAUCUUUUCAAACGAUAGAAGAAAGUGGCAACAACACAAUGAAAAUAAGUCAUACUUACAUGCGUGUACGAGAGUGCAAACUGGAUAGCUUUGGAGUGUUGCUUUUGACAGACCGUCUUCUAGUUGAUGGGAAUAACUUCCUUACUCUGGACCGAGCCACGGACACUUGGACAGCAGAGGGACCACAGGCUCUCCCUCUGAAACAUCUAUGGGACCGGGAGAGCACACGCACAAGGCGGGAAAUUAUGCAACUCCAUGAAAGCUGUACCAAACUACUGGAGGAGAUCACAUGUUCUGAGCCCGGCGCUACUGGAGAAUCCUUUGCAGGCAAUGACUGCUUGAAAUCUGGAGCGCAUGGACAUCACCAAACCCUGGGUUUCCAUUUUUGUGAUGCUUUGCC